rnacentral:misc_RNA from 1 species
GAUGAAGAACGUAGCGAAAUGCGAUAAGUAAUGUGAAUUGCAGAAUUCAGUGAAUCAUCGAAUCUUUGAACGCACAUCGCGCCCGUCAGUAUUCUGGCGGGCAUGCCUGUUCGAGCGUCAUUACGCCCCUCAAGUCCCCUGUGGACUUGGUGUUGGGGAUCGGCGAGGCUGGUUUUCCAGCACAGCCGUCCCUUAAAUUAAUUGGCGGUCUCGCCGUGGCCCUCCUCUGCGCAGUAGUAAAACACUCGCAACAGGAGCCCGGCGCGGUCCACUGCCGUAAAACCCCCCAACUUUUUAUAGUUGACCUCGAAUCAGGUAGGACUACCCGCUGAACUUAAGCAUAUCAAUAAGCGGAGGA